GUCUAUGCUAUCAAAGAUGAGUGUUAAUAUUAAAAAUUUUUAGUAUAAAAGCUAACGCGUUAAACACUCCGCCUGGGGAGUACGGUCGCAAGAUUGAAACUCAAAGGAAUUGGCGGGGGUCUACACAAAUGGUGGAGCAUGUGGUUUAAUGCGAUAAUCCGCGCGAAACCUUACCAACUUUUGCAUACUAAAUUUAAUUUUAUUUAUUUAAAUAUUAUUUAACUAUAUAAAAUUUAGUUAUAUAGAUAAGCUAAUUUUUUACAGGUGUUGCAUGGCUGUCGU
rnacentral:rRNA from 1 species